rnacentral:rRNA from 1 species
CCAGCGAAUUCGGUAGAGAUACCUUAGUGCCUUCGGGAACGCUGAGACAGGUGCUGCAUGGCUGUCGUCAGCUCGUGUUGUGAAAUGUUGGGUUAAGUCCCGCAACGAGNGCAGCCCUUAUCCUUUGUUGCCAGCGGUCCGGCCGGGAACUCAAAGGAGACUGCCAGUGAUAAACUGGAGGAAGGUGGGGAUGACGUCAAGUCAUCAUGGCCCUUACGAGUAGGGCUACACACGUGCUACAAUGGCGCAUACAAAGAGAAGCGACCUCGCGAGAGCAAGCGGACCUCAUAAAGUGCGUCGUAGUCCGGAUUGGAGUCUGCAACUCGACUCCAUGAAGUCGGAAUCGCUAGUAAUCGUAGAUCAGAAUGCUACGGUGAAUACGUUCCCGGGCCUUGUACACACCGCCCGUCACACCAUGGGAGUGGGUUGCAAAAGAAGUAGGUAGCUUAACCUUCGGGAGGGCGCUUACCACUUUGUGAUUCAUGACUGGGGUGAAGUCGUAACAAGGUAAGCGUAGCGAG